rnacentral:rRNA from 1 species
UUAUAAAAUUGUAUCGUUCUAAAAGAACAGCCCUCAAUCGUUUUAGCUUCAAGAAACAUUUUCAUAUAUUCCUUAUUCGAAGUAUUCUUUCUAACUUCUGUCUUUUUCGAAAAUGUUUUUAGCAUUACCUCCUGUAACUUCUUCAUCUGAGGAAUUGAUAAGUAUUCAUACAUUUCAUUUAGGAUAGUAACAAUUUUUUCUUCCAUGCUGGUAUCUCCUUUCGUGAUACCAGUAUCCUACAACUAUUGCUUGGCUAUCCAAAAUAUUCUUGCAUUAAACUAUCGAAAAGUGUUUGAGCUUCAUCCAAUGCUUUCUGAACAACAACUUUUGAUUUGUUGACUUGCUGGACAAAAAUACCAAAUUUAUCCUGAAGAUCCUUUGAUGCUAUUUUUAUAGGCAUCUGAGCUAACGAUUUCGCUCCAACAUUUUGUUGAGCAACCCCGACUUUUUCUGAAUCAAUAAAUCUCUUACCUAAAUCAGAGUUAAUAUAACUACAAACAUAAUUUGCGUUGUGAUUUAUUUUAAGCCUAACAAUCAAAGUAGUAAAUGUCUGACAUCCUUCGUAUUUCUUGGGAACUAAGCAUGCAAUACCAGGAUACCCAGUCCUCAUUGCAAUGAUGUCAUUUUCUUUUAACUUCUUUGAUUUAUAUUUUUCAGCAAAUUCAGGUGUAAUAUAAAUCAAAUCAGAAUCGUCAAGAUAAUUUUCUUUAAUAUUCUGGUUUCUAAGCAUUGGAACUCCAGUUGCUGCAUAAGCAUGUGUUGCAGAGUUGGCAAUUCCAACAGUUAUAAACUCUGAUAUUUCACCUAGCAUUUGUUCUUCUUUAAUCGAACCAAACAUCUCGACAAAUCGGGCUUUGAUUAAUUUGUCUAAAGCUACUAAUUCCGUUUGACGAUAAAAAAUGAUACUCUGAAUGAGUCUAAUUCUUCUUAUUAUCUUCAUUCUGACUUUAUAAUCAUAAACAGGUAAUUCUAAAGAAGAAAUAUGUUCAGUU